rnacentral:rRNA from 1 species
UACGGAGGGUGCAAGCGUUAUCCGGAUUUACUGGGUUUAAAGGGUGUGUAGGCGGGCUUUUAAGUCAGUGGUGAAAUCUCCGGGCUCAACCUGGAAACUGCCAUUGAUACUAUUAGUCUUGAAUUUUGUUGAGGUAGGCGGAAUAAGUCAUGUAGCGGUGAAAUGCAUAGAUAUGACUUAGAACACCAAUUGCGAAGGCAGCUUGCUAAACAGUUAUUGACGCUGAGCACGAAAGCGUGGGAGUCAAACAGG